CCUACGGGAGGCAGCAGUGAGGAAUAUUGGUCAAUGGCCGGAAGGCUUAACCAGCCAAGCCGCGUGAAGGACGAAGGUGCCAAGCAUUUUAAACUUCUUUUGUCAAGGGACAAAAUCAGGCUCGAGAGCCUGACCGAGGGUACUUUAAGAAAAAGCAUCGGCUAACUCAGUGCCAGCAGCCGCGGUAAUACGGAGGAUGCGAUGGUUAUCCGGAUUUAUUGGGUUAAAGGGGUGCGUAGGUGGGCUGUUAAGUCAGCGGGAAAAGCCCGGGGCUCAACCCCGGCGAGCCGUUGAAACUGGCUGUCUUGAGAUGUCGAGAGGUAUGCGGAAUGCGCAGUGUAGCGGUGAAAUGCUUAGAUAUUGCGCAGAACUCCGAUUGCGAAGGCAGCAUACCGGCGGCGAUCUGACGCUGAGGCACGAAAGCGUGGGUAUCGAACAGGAUUAGAUACCCUAGUAGUC
rnacentral:rRNA from 1 species